AAAUCACCUCUUGCAUUUCAUUUCUUCAAGCUUCAUAUCACGUUUCAUCUUUUCAAAAAAAUCAUCACCUCUUUAACAUAUUCUCCAAGUUUCAGAUAUGACGUCUAAUCGCCGACAAAACACAAAUAAUAUUGUGGAUGCUGAUACAAAUUUUUCUGCUGAAACAUCACAACGGGUAAAUAUCUCCUAUUUGUUUUUCUAAAUUUUAGCGUAGUUAAAGUUUAAUUUAAAAAUAUGUUUGAAUUUUAAAAAACAUUUGUAGUGUGGAGACAAUUUCAAAUGGACUCCUAACCGAGAAAGUAUAUUUCUUGAAUUAUACGAUAAAGCAAUUGCCAUGAAUAAUUACCGUUUAAAAGACCCUACACCCCUUGGUAAACAGUUUUUGGUUGAACAAUUUAACGAGAAGUUCAGUGUUAAUAUAAACUAUCGGUUCUUCAAAGAAAAGAUUGAUCAGUUGAAAAAAAAGUAGAAAAAGUAUGUACAGCUUAUGGAUAACACGGGCAUCACGGUUGACCCUGUCACACAUCAGAUAAAUGCAAGUAAUGGUGGAAAGAUCAAGAAGUAUGUAAGAUUGUACACGCAUUUCAACGGCAACCGCCACAACUUUGGGAUGUGAUGCAACGUUGUUUCAGAUUAUAUAAUGUGAAAUCCCA